AUGAUGGAGCAAGUGAAGGCCAUCCGAGAAGCCAUCCAGGUAGCCUAUGACGCCAGUUCAGCUCUUCAGAGUAAUGUUCAGAAAUCCUGCGACCUUGCGGCUCGUUAUACUGAGUUGGAGAACAAACACAUUCAGCUCGAGCUUGAUCUGAAACUGGCCCAGGAGAACUUGACGAAGGCGAAGGAGGAAGCAAAAGACAAGGUGAGGGAUGCCCUGAAGAAGAAGGACCUUGACUUGGCUGAGAUGCAGAAAGCGGCUUUAGAGAAGACCAAGCUCGCAGAUGAGAAGUUGGCUUCAGUCACCAAGCUUGAAGAAGAAAACACCAAUCUGAAAGCUGCUCUUGAUGCUGCCAACAAGGAGGUCAGUCGACUGAUAAGUGAUAAGAUUGCUCUGAGUGACAAGGCCAGUGAGUUGGUGGGAAAGAAGAACGAUCUGGAGGCUUAUCUGGGCGGACUCGCCAAGAAGCUAUUCCUCAUGCUUGAAGAAUUUUGCCAGAACUUUGAAGAGGAGACUGGUCGACUGGAAAUAAACUUGGAUCCCAUCAACUCUCCUGUGAAAGAUGAAGUCGCCAUGAAUGUGCUCCGACUCGAAUCUCGCGUUGCUGCCGUCGUUGACUAUCUUGCAAGGCUGAAGGUCGCAACUUCUCGCAUCGACACAACACUCUGGCCAAGAGAGACGCUCCAUAACGAUCUCGAGUCUCUGAUGACUCGACUGAACGCGGUCCCAAGUCGAGUGUAG
rnacentral:rRNA from 1 species